UACGUAGGGGGCUAGCGUUUGUCCGGAAUCAUUGGGCGUAAAGAGCGCGUAGGCGGCUAGAUAAGUCCGGUGUGAAAGUCACAGGCUCAACCUGUGAAUGCCGCUGGAAACUGUCUGGCUAGAGUCCGGAAGGGGGCGAGUGGAAUUCCUGGUGUAGCGGGUGAAAUGCGCAGAUAUCAGGAGGAACACCAAUGGCGAAGGCAGCUCGCUGGGGACGGUACUGACGCUGAGGCGCGAAAGCGUGGGGGAGCAAACAGG
rnacentral:rRNA from 1 species